rnacentral:rRNA from 1 species
GACAGAGGGUGCAAACGUUGCUCGGAAUUAUUGGGCGUAAAGCGCGCGUAGGCGGCCACUUAAGUCGGAUGUGAAAGCCCCUGGCUCAACUGGGGAAGUGCACCCGAAACUGAAUGGCUUGAAUGCAAAAGAGGGUCGCGGAAUUCCCGGUGUAGAGGUGAAAUUCGUAGAUAUCGGGAGGAACACCGGUGGCGAAGGCGGCGACCUGGGUUGACAUUGACGCUGAGGCGCGAAAGCGUGGGGAGCAAACAGG